rnacentral:tRNA from 1 species
GCGCCAGUCGUCUAAUGAGUAAGACGCCGCUUUGCUAAAGCGGAGACGGGAGUGCAAUUCUCCCCCGGCGCG